rnacentral:misc_RNA from 1 species
GAUGAAGAACGCAGCGAAAUGCGAUACGUAGUGUGAAUUGCAGAAUUCAGUGAAUCAUCGAAUCUUUGAACGCACAUUGCACCUCUCGGUAUUCCGGGAGGUAUGCCUGUUCGAGCGUCAUUUGUACCCUCAAGCUCUGCUUGGUGUUGGGUGUUUGUUCCGCCUCUGUGUGUGAACUCGCCUCAAAACAAUUGGCAGCCGGCGUACUUGUUUCGGAGCGCAGCACAUUUUGCGAUCCAGAUCAACGUACAGCGGCAUCCAAGAAGCCUUAUUUAACGCUCUUGACCUCGGAUCAGGUAGGGAUACCCGCUGAACUUAAGCAUAUCAAUAAGCCGAGGA